CCUACGGGUGGCUGCAGUAGGGAAUAUUGCUCAAUGGGGGAAACCCUGAAGCAGCAACGCCGCGUGGAGGAUGAAGGUUUUCGGAUUGUAAACUUCUUUUGUUAGAGAAGAUAAUGAAGGGAUCUAACGAAUAAGGACCGGCUAACACCGUGCCAGCAGCCGCGGCAAUACGGAGGGUGCAAGCGUUACUCGGAAUGACUGGGCGUAAAGAGCGCGUAGGCGGGAUAGCAAGUCAGAUGUGAAAUCCUAAGGCUUAACCAUAGAACUGCAUUUGAAACUGUUAUUCUAGAGUAUGGGAGAGGUAUGUGGAAUUCUUGGUGUAGAGGUAAAAUCCGUAGAGAUCAAGAAGAAUACUCAUUGCGAAGGCGACCUGCUGGAACAUAACUGACGCUGAGGCGCGAAAGCGUGGGGAGCAAACAGGAUUAGAUACCCGAGUAGUC
rnacentral:rRNA from 1 species